rnacentral:rRNA from 1 species
UACGGAAGGUGCGAGCGUUAAUCGGAAUUACUGGGCGUAAAGCGCACGUAGGUGGUUUUAUAAGUCGGAUGUGAAAGCCCCGGGCUUAACCUGGGAAUGGCAUUUGGGACUGCAAGGCUGGAGUGCGGCAGAGGAGACUGGAAUUCCUGGUGUAGCGGUGGAAUGCGCAGAUAUCAGGAGGAACACCGAUGGCGAAGGCAGGUCACUGGGCCGCAACUGACGCUGAGGAGCGAAAGCAUGGGGAGCGAACAGG